CCUACGGGCGGCAGCAGUAGGGAAUCUUCGGCAAUGGACGAAAGUCUGACCGAGCAACGCCGCGUGAGUGAAGAAGGUUUUCGGAUCGUAAAGCUCUGUUGUAAGUCAAGAACGUGUGUGAGAGUGGAAAGUUCACACAGUGACGGUAGCUUACCAGAAAGGGACGGCUAACUACGUGCCAGCAGCCGCGGUAAUACGUAGGUCCCGAGCGUUGUCCGGAUUUAUUGGGCGUAAAGCGAGCGCAGGCGGUUAGAUAAGUCUGAAGUUAAAGGCUGUGGCUUAACCAUAGUACGCUUUGGAAACUGUCAAACUUGAGUGCAGAAGGGGAGAGUGGAAUUCCAUGUGUAGCGGUGAAAUGCGUAGAUAUAUGGAGGAACACCGGUGGCGAAAGCGGCUCUCUGGUCUGUAACUGACGCUGAGGCUCGAAAGCGUGGGGAGCGAACAGGAUUAGAUACCCGAGUAGUC
rnacentral:rRNA from 1 species